rnacentral:rRNA from 1 species
CGGAGGGUGCAAGCGUUGUCCGGAUUUAUUGGGUUUAAAGGGUGCGUAGGUGGAACUGUAAGUCUGAUUUGAAAGCAAGCGGCUUAACCGUUUGAUGUGGUUGGAAACUGUGGUUCUUGAAUGGGUUGGCGGUAGCCGGAAUGGGUCAUGUAGCGGUGAAAUACAUAGAUAUGACCCGGAACACCGAUUGCGAAGGCAGGCUACUACGACUUGAUUGACACUGAGGCACGAGAGCAUGGGUAGCGAACAGGAUU